rnacentral:rRNA from 1 species
AGAGUUUGAUCAUGGCUCAGGAUGAACGCUAGCGGGAGGCCUAACACAUGCAAGCCGAGCGGUAUUGUUUCUUCGGAAAUGAGAGAGCGGCGUACGGGUGCGGAACACGUGUGCAACCUACCUUUAUCUGGAGGAUAGCCUUUCGAAAGGAAGAUUAAUUCUCCAUAAUAUAUUGACUGGCAUCAGUUGAUAUUGAAAGCUCCGGCGGAUAAAGAUGGGCACGCGCAAGAUUAGCUAGUUGGUGAGGUAACGGCUCACCAAGGCGAUGAUCUUUAGGGGCCUGAGAGGGUGAUCCCCCACACUGGUACUGAGACACGGACCAGACUCCUACGGGAGGCAGCAGUGAGGAAUAUUGGUCAAUGGGUGCAAGCCUGAACCAGCCAUCCCCGCGUGAAGGACGACUGCCCUAUGGGUUGUAAACUUCUUUUGUAUAGGGAUAAACCUACUCUCGUGAGGGUAGCUGAAGGUACUAUACGAAUAAGCACCGGCUAACUCCGUG